GUUUCCGUAGUGUAGCGGUCAUUAGGCGCGCCUAACACGGGCAGGUCCCCAGUUCGAUCCUGGGCGAAAACA